ensembl:lncRNA
CCUCGAGGUCGGAGAUGUUCCAUCGCAAAUUCCCGGUCUGCCGCUUGAUGGAGGGUUUGGGGUUUGAAGCCAUCAGCCAAGCCAAAGAAAGAAAAACGCGAGAGGUGGUCGCUAAGGGGCCUCAGGUGCCCCUCCAGCGGGUCACGGGCCCAUGAGGCAGUCGAGAAAGCAGCUAGGGGAGGACAGCUUCCCCACCGCCCCAGGCACUUUGGAGGCCGGCCGCAUCUCCUCGCGUCCAGAGGCGUUUGCCCGGGGCCCAGCUGGAUGAGACUGCCAGACAGGACGGGCAGAGUCGGAAGUCCAGUUGUCUUGCUAUCACAAUCUAGGGUAGGCUCGGGUCUUUCCUCAGUGCGGGGAGGACCUUUGCUUUCAGAAAUGAACGUGGCGCGACAUAUCUCCACUCAGGCACCGGUGCGAUGCUGGUGGAGAAGUUUCUUUGGGACUGGUUGGGUUGCCUUUCUCCCCUUGGCCUUCGUGUUGGUGCUGGUGGUGCUGGUGGUGCUGGUGGUGCUGGUGGUGCUGGUGGUGCUGGUGGCGGUGCUCAUGGCCUUGUGGAUCGCUUCUCCUGUUUGGCACUUGGAGCUUCUCCAGCGUACUCCUUGCACCGGACAUGGAGCCCCAGGGAUCUUUGCGGACGAGCGUCGUGCGGGGCAGCGCAUCCCGCCUCAUUCCUGCCGGACCCUCCGCCAAGUAGCACGAGGCCUCCCAAGGACAGACACCCAUAAAGGCUGCUUGCCCGUCUUCUCCCCGGACGCCUCUCGACGUCUGGGGCAUUUUCGAGAGCCUGACCGGCCGGAAGGAGACGGUUCAUGGACCUGCACCCGCUCUUCCCUGCCCCCCGAAGGGCUCCCGAGAUCUUCUCCUUGCUCGGCUGGCUGUGAGCGCUCUGUGAGGCGUCUCCAGGCCGCGUCACUCACCCGAGGCCAGCGGUGCGGCCAGGGAACGGAGACGGGGAACGAAAGGCAAACCCACACCCAAAGUCCCAUCCCGAGAGGACUCUCCCACCCUCGCAGAAGUGGGAGGCCCUCGGACCGUGCCCAGGCCCGCUCAUGCACCCCAUCACCCCAUCCUCUCCAGCGACUUCCCAGCAGAGCCAGCCCUCGAGAGCUCAGCCGCUCAGGCACGAGCCCGUCCCAAGUGAACACCGAGACCCCGGGCACACUCCAGGCCCCGCUUUUCCCAGGAGGCUGCAUCACGCACACGGCCGAGAGGAACCCGCUCCUCGUCGGAACUCUUGGUGCGUCACACAGGGCGUGCCGCACACAGCGUGUGCCUGGGCGUCUGCACGCAUGUGCGUCAGAGCCGACCUACCGCCACAGCCCCAGAGGCGGCCGCGGCUUCUUGUUCUUCCCCUUGGUGGCUCUGGCCCUCCCGCUGGCACAAGGGCCGUUGCCGACGUUCUUCGGCCCCGGAGGCGGGGUGUCCGUGCUGGGACGGUCGAGCCGCUCGUGCUCCUGUUGGGGCGGCGUGCGGUUUCUCCCUCCUCCGUGUUUGGACUGGUGAAUCACGACUGCGCCGGCAGGCAGGGCAGACUGGACCUUCCGCGGCUCAAGGCCGGCUUGAUCGGCUGUGUUCUUGCAGGCGUCUCCACUGCUCUAAGCUCAUCCUUCGACCUCUGUGUCCCCCGGGGACUCCUCCGACCCAGGAGCUCUGCCGCUGGCGUCUCCUGCAGGCUGCCCGGGGUCUGUGGGGUCAGCCCCGACGGGGGCCGCUGCCCCUCCCCCAGCGCCCCCUUCCCACGCACCCUCCCGGGCGUAGAACAGGACGUAGGCGCUCUGGCUCAGGGCAGCGGUCUCGUCACAGGCGGUCACCUUGGCAUCGUCCAUCUUAUAACAUUGGUCGUUGCCCUCUCAGACCUAACAAAAGUAGUGGCCUCGCUCACAGGUCCUCACAGAAACAUAGUAUUUUCAAUACUCUCUGCUUGAAUUUUUCUUGAAGAAAUGUAAAAUUUUAGUAAAUUUUUCCCAAUGAAAUAAAUCUUUUUUAAGUAAUGUAUAUCUGGCCAUAUUAGUCUCAAUAAUCUCAGAAUAAACACAAGGACAUCAAAUAUUUAUUCAUAAUUAAAAAUUUUUUAAAGAAUCAGGUCAUUUACAUGAUAUUACAUCUGCAUAACACAUUGACAUGUUUGAUUCCAGAGUUGCAUUUUCCCUUAGGAUCAGGUGGUUGCUUUAGCCCCUCCUUUGUGUGUGUGUGUGUGUGUGUGUGUGGCUUGAAUGAUUUCAUGCUUCCCUAUUCUUGCCACCCUGGUGUUGCUUAGAGACCCUGGAUAUUUUAUGAGAGCAAUGGCCACACCACACUAAGAGGCCUAACCCUGUCUCUGUCUUGUGUCUUCAGGAGCUCAAUGCAUACAAAACGUGUAUGAAAGCUCCAGAUGUGAAAGCUCAGGCUUCCAGUUGAUUCACACCUCCUAUGUAAAGGGAAUGGCCUUCUUCUACCCUCAUGGGCAUAAUUGGGGCCAGAUGUGAGGACAAAGUGUGCGAUGGGUUCAGGUGCAAAAAGUCAGUUAUCCCCUUGCUUCAUACCUGCGGUGCAAAGGGAAAAUCCUUCCUUUGGGAAAACAGCUCAGAGCUCAUAGAGACAAGGGCUGCCCCCUGCAGAGUGGGGCCAGUAGCCUCUGGUGGGGAAGACUGGGGUGAUGACUGACUGGCUGGGGGCUCCCAGGAUGAGGCAAGAGGCUGAGGAGCCCAAGUUUGCAGAGCCAAGGUCAUACCAACCCCUCCUUGGAUCUGCGUCUGUCUGAGUGGAGCAGUGACUUUAAGGGGCUAGGAUGCCAGCUGCCUGCCUGGAGGCCACAGGAGGAGGAGGCAGAAAAGCAGGCGGUGUGGCUCCUUUUGAUUUCUGAAGACACUUCUUUCUGGCACCAGGUGCCAACCUAUGGGAAAGAUUGUAUUCUUUUUAUAAAACUGCUUUAGCUGUUCUAAUUCAUUUGCCUUUCCAUCUCAGUUCAUUUAAAGAUAAAUGUACAAAUGUAUAUAUUUUUCCCAAUGAAAUAAAUCUUUUUUAAGUAAUGUAAAUCUGGCCAUAUUAGUCUCAAUAAUCUCAGAAUAAACACAAGGACAUCAAAUAUUUAUUCAUAAUUAAAAUUUUUUAAAGAAUCAGGUCAUUUACAUGAUAUUACAUCUGCAUAACACAUUGACAUGUUUGAUUCCAGAGUUGCAUUUUCCCUUAGGAUCAGGUGGUUGCUUUAGCCCUCUCCUUUGUGUGUGUGUGUGUGUGUGUGUGUGUGUGUGUGUGUGUGUGUGUGUGUGUGUGUGUGUGUGUGUGUGUGUGUGUGUGUGUGUGUGUGUGUGUGUGUGUGUGUGUGUGUGUGUGUGUGUGUGUGUGUGUGUGUGUGUGUGUGUGUGUGUGUGUGUGUGUGUGUGUGUGUGUGUGUGUGUGUGUGUGUGUGUGUGUGUGUGUGUGUGUGUGUGUGUGUGUGUGUGUGUGUGUGUGUGUGUGUGU